rnacentral:rRNA from 1 species
GACGUAGGGUGCAAGCGUUGUCCGGAUUUAUUGGGCGUAAAGAGCUCGUAGGCGGCUUGUUGCGUCGACUGUGAAAACCCGCGGCUUAACCGCGGGCUUGCAGUUGAUACGGGCAGGCUAGAGUUCGGUAGGGGAGACUGGAAUUCCUGGUGUAGCGGUGAAAUGCGUAGAUAUCAGGAAGAACACCGGUGGCGAAGGCGGCUCUCUGGGCCUUACCUGACGCUGAGGAGCGAAAGCGUGGGUAGCGAACAGG